CAUAUAAGUGCGAAACUCGCCUCAAGAUGAGACAUCUUUUAAGGGUCGUUGGAGAUGACGACGUUGAUAGGCUACAGGUGUAAAGGCAGUAAUGUCAUAGCCGAGUAGUACUAAUUACCCGUAGAUUUAUAGCCU
rnacentral:rRNA from 1 species